AACGCAAAAUUACCCUUCUCUAAAGGUUUCUUUUGCAUCGUCAUCUCUCUUCUCAAACGCCAAGUUACUUCUUAUUUCUCUUCUCAUUCCAGUUCUGCCGCAAUCGAUGACAAAUUCCACCAGAUCCACAAAGUUCCAUCAGAUCUAUCAUUAUUUUUUAGUUUUACCUUCGGAUCUUUCAGUUUCUCUUUUUAUCUCUUCUUUAGUGACGAUCCUGAUCUGAAAUCCCGAUUUCAAAUUGCGAUACCACCAUGAACCCUAAUUUUGCAGUUCAAAUUCCAAUCGUAGCAAUCGUGAGACCGCGAUGAACCCUAAUCUCACUCCUCUAUGACCUAUCGGAUACGUGUCCGACAAUAAUACUUUGGCAUUUUUGGAGUAUCGGAGCUUUCAUAGAUGCAACCGCGAUGUAUUUAUUCUAUGCUACAAAAAAAAAAACCUUUGUUUGCAGGGACUUUUUAUGCUAUUUCUACUUUUGGGGCACUUGGAAUUGGAGCUAAUAUUUGAUAAAAGAAAGAGUCUUCACGGUGCAACAAUGGUUGUGAAUGGCUUCAAAUUCUUGACACAUUUCUCAAGGUUACAUCUAUUUUGUUGAAAGAAAAUGAGCUUCAUAUGGUGAAUACUCCUGCUCGCAUCAUGUUGAUUUUGGUGGUAAGGUAAAUUUAGUUGGUGAGCUUAAUAUGUAAAAGGAACUUAUAUAUAUAAUUGAAUUUAUUAUAAUUAGAUAAUACUAAAUAUAAUUGAAUUUAUUAUAAUUAGAUAAUACUAGACUUGAUAUUGUGUUGGCUACGCAUAAGGUGUGUAUGUUUAGUUUGACCCCAUCAUUGAAUUCGGAGUGGAAUGGUAUUGUGGUUGCAAUUGCUAAUUGGGUUUGAAUUUAAUAUUGUGUUGCUAUUGUUAUAUUAUGAAAGAUAAAGAAUGCCAAUUUGCAUGAUAGUUAUGAAUGAAAUUUUUUGGGUUUCUAUGUUGUUAGCAGUAAAUCCCCUUUUUAAUUUUUUUUAACACAUCCAUGAGUUUUUAGAAGCAAGUCCAUGAACCUUACAUGUCUCAAGGCCACCUAUAUUUUGUGGAAAGAAAUUGAACUCAAAUAGGGUUGAUGCUCCUAGAUAUGUUGAUUUUGGUAGUGAGGUAAACUUGUGCUUUUAAACUACAUCUUAUUUUGUUUUCCUUAAGCAUAUUAAUUGUAUCAUUGACUUGUUCUACUUUGUUCUAUUUACUAGCAAUUUAUAAGGCAGCUGGUGAUAUGAAGUGGAUUAAGUGGAAUGAAGUGAUGUUGGUCAUUAUGUGGAACACACUCCAAUAUGUCUUGGCAUUGGUUCGAUUUAUGUCGUGAUUUUAUGUAUAAAGUAUUGUGUGUAUUUGGUGUAGAAAUGUUCUUGUAUCAUUGAAAAUAAAUGUGUAUUGAUAUGUGAAUGGUAAAAUAUCUUGUUUUACUAUGUGAAUGGAAAAAAAAUCCAUGAAUUGAACACA